CCUACGGGAGACAGCAGUGAGGAAUAUUGGUCAAUGGACGAGAGUCUGAACCAGCCAAGUAGCGUGAAGGAUGACUGCCCUAUGGGUUGUAAACUUCUUUUAUAUGGGAAUAAAAUGUUCCACGUGUGGGAUUUUGUAUGUACCAUAUGAAUAAGGAUCGGCUAACUCCGUGCCAGCAGCCGCGGUAAUACGGAGGAUCCGAGCGUUAUCCGGAUGUAUUGGGUUUAAAGGGAGCGUAGGUGGAUUGUUAAGUCAGUUGUGAAAGCGUGCGGCUCAACCGUAAAAUUGCAGUUGAAACUGGCGUUCUUGAGUGGGCGAGAAGGAUGCGGAAUGCGUGGUGUAGCGGUGAAAUGCAUAGAUAUCACGCAGAACUCCGAUUGCGAAGGCAGCAACCCGGCGCCCAACUGACGCUGAAGCACGAAAGCGUGGGUAUCGAACAGGAUUAGAUACCCCAGUAGUC
rnacentral:rRNA from 1 species